CAAAAGCGUAUAUUAAAGUUGUUGCAGUUAAAAAGCUCGUAGUUGAACCUUGGGCUUGGCUGGCCGGUCCAUCUUUUUUGAUGCGUACUGGACCCAGCCGAGCCUUUCCUUCUGGCUAGCCUUUUGGCGAACCAGGACUUUUACUUUGAAAAAAUUAGAGUGUUCAAAGCAGGCCUUUGCUCGAACAUAUUAGCAUGGAAUAAUAGAAUAGGACGUUAUGGUUCUAUUUUGUUGGUUUCUAGGACCAUCGUAAUGAUUAAUAGGGACGGUCGGGGGUAUCAGUAUUCAGUUGUCAGAGGUGAAAUUCUUGGAUUUACUGAAGACUAACUACUGCGAAAGCAUUUACCAAGGACGUUUUCAUUAA
rnacentral:rRNA from 1 species